UCAUCUAGGCGUUGAGACUGGUAGGUAAAUCCGCCGGUUGAGCUGAGGUGAGAGCGAGCCGUAAGGCAUAAGUGGUUGAGCCUUGUUGCCAAGAAAAGUCUCUAAGCAUAACUUUCUAGUGCUCGUACCGCAAACCGACACUGGUAGAUGGGUAGAGUAUACCAAGGCGAACAGGAGAACUCUCGUUAAGGAAUUAGGCAACAUGACCCCGUAACUUCGGGAGAAGGGGUACCCUCCUUCGUGUUAAAGCUUCGGAGGGUCGCAGUGAAAUGGCUCUGGUGACUGGUUAACAAAACCACAGGUCUCUGCUAAGCCGUAAGGCGAUGUAUAGGGGCUGACGCGUGCCCAGUGCCGGAAGGUUAAAGGGAGAGGUUAGCGCAAGCGAAGCUUUGAACUGAAGCCCCGGUGAACGGCGGCCGUAACUAUAACGGUCCUAAGGUAGCGAAAUUCCUUGUCGGGUAAGUUCCGACCCGCACGAACCGCGUAACAAUUAGAGCACUGUCUCGACGAGAGACCCGGUGAAAUUGAAAUGGCUGUGAAGAUGCGGCCUACCCGCAGUAGGACAAAAAGACCCCGUGGAGCUUUACUGCAACUUGGCAUUGUAUUUGGAUAUGAUCUGUGUAGGAUAGGUGGGAGGCUUUGAAGCUGGCGCGCUAGCGUCGGUGGAGCCAAUGGUGAAAUACCACCCUGAUCAUGUUUAGAUCCUAACCCCAUUCCGUCAUCCGGAUGGGGGACCGUGCCAGGUGGGCAGUUUGACUGGGGCGGUCGCCUCCUAAGAGGUAACGGAGGCGCCCAAAGGUUCCCUCAGGUGGAAUGGAAACCCACCAUAGAGUGUAAAGGCAUAAGGGAGCUUGACUGUAAGGCCAACGCGCCGAACAGAGACGAAAGUCGGGCUUAGUGAUCCCACAGUACCGAGUGGAAGGGCUGUGGCUUACCGGAUAAAAGCUACCCCGGGGAUAACAGGCUGGUGAGAUCCAAGAGUUCACAUCGACGAUCUCGCUCGGCACCUCGAUGUCGGCUCAUCGCAUCCUGGGGCUGGACAAGGUCCCAAGGGUCGGGCUGUUCGCCCGUUAAAGCGGUACGCGAGCUGGGUUCAGACCGUCGUGAGACAGGUCGGUCUCUAUCCACUGUGGGCGUAAGGGAUUUGAAGGGAGCUGCUCCUAGUACGAGAGGACCGGAGUGGACAGACCUCUAGUGUGCCAGUUGUUCCGCCAGGAGCAUCGCUGGGUAGCCAUGUCUGGCAGAGAUGACCGCUGAAAGCAUCUAAGUGGGAAACUCGCCCUAAGAUUAGAUCCCUGUGACCCGUAAGGGUGUAAGACCCCAGAUAGACUAUCUGGUUAAUAGGCAGCAUGUGUAAGCGCAGUAAUGUGUUAAGCUAAGCUGUACUAAUGGUCGAGGGCUUCC
rnacentral:rRNA from 1 species